GAUGCACCAAAAUAGCUGCUGUCCAUUUUCGUGUUGAAUGUUUUUUUUUUAAGAACUCGCGAAGUGUGGGUUUAAACUUAGCUAGUAAAUAUAAUCGAAUACAUUUUACGAGUAAGAACUUGAGUUGACGACGGUGUCGUUUUCAGUAUGUUUGCGAAGUCCAACACAGUGAUUAAACGCUCCGAUAGGCGAGGAGUCACUCGUUCCACAUUAAACUCAACGAUUUAUAAUGAAGUUGAGCGACGACGAGUAGUGUAGUGUGGUGGGCCGACUGGAGCUCCGACGUUUUAAUGGAAAAAAAACGACACAUUUCUGCACCCAAAGAAUAGGCAGCAAUUACACACGAUAUUUUCUAUUCGCCGCUCAACUCAACAGGCAUCCAUCCUCUUUGGUAGCUAGAAAGAUACCCAGACAGCCAGAGUGAGAGGAGUCUGGAAAAGAUAUGCAAUUUCAUAUAUGCUAGAUUGUGACAGACCUUUAGGACGUUCCAUUUGAUUUCAAUCACCUUUUGAACGCACCCCUUUUUAAUUUGAACAAAACCUCCCAUACAUAUUUGCUCAUGGUAGAAGUGGUCAGAAAGUGACUCUUAGGACCUGAAUGCCAAAACAUUCAGUAGAGGAGGUGCCUAAAGUUGGCGAUUUUUGCAUACUCCACCAUACCAUGAGACAUCCAUUUCUUCAUCAGUGGAAAAGAUUAACGGGUCACCGGGAGAGAUCAGCCAAUGAAGUUGGAAGUCAUACCUGUUGACUACAUUAAUAUGGUGGAAGCCCUCAAUGACGCCUCCCAUGCUAAUACAGCUUUUUGGCCACUAUGAUUCAUUAUGAUUGAGACAGCAUGCUCUUAACACAAGGAGGAAGCUGAAUGCUGACAUAUCCACUGCCUUUCCCUCUCUGUCUGUGGAGGAUCUGUCCGAGUUGGUCCCAAACAAAGAGGAGCUGAAUGUAGUGAAGAUCUAUGCCCACAAGGGAGAUGCAGUCACCCUCUACGUUCUUCAUAAGAACCCAGUGUUCUUUGAGCUGGAGAAACGUGUCUAUCUCACAGGAUAUAACCAUGGGGACAGCAGGUUAUGAGUGAACCUGCGCAUCACUACCACAAGGACGCUAGACAAAAUUUAGCACUGCCACCAGCUGGUCUUCCCUGGCCAGCCACCCGUAGUAAAGAAGGGCCACAUUGAGCCCAUAGACAUCUCUGUGGCCUUCAGGAACUCCAACAAGACGGUGACCAUGAUAAAGAACCUGGAGGUGUAUGGUGUGGACCCCAUGGCCGUAUCGUUAGCCCUGCAGCACAGAGUCCACGCCAGCUCAGCCCUGAACUACAUACCUGGCUCAAAGGACCGUGCUCUGGUCGAGAUACAAGGAAACCGGGUCCAGCAAGUCGGCCAACUGCUGCUACUGUAGACCUGAGCCCUAGAACCAUGCCUCAGGACUACCUGGCAUGAUGACUCCUUGCUGUCCCCAGUCCACCUGGCUGUGCUGCUGCUCCAGUUUCAACUGUUCUCCCUGUGGCUAUGGAACCCUGACCUGUUCACCGGAAGUGCUACCUGUCCCAGACCUGCUGUUUUCAACUCUCUCGAGACCGCAGGAGCGGUAGAGAUACUCUCAAUGAUCGGCUAUGAAAAGCCAACUGGCAUUUACUCCUGAGGUGCUGACUUGUUGCACCCUCGACAACUACUGUGAUUAUAAUUAUUUGACCAUGCUGGUCAUUUAUGAACAUUUGAACGUCUUGGCCAUGUUCUGUUUUAAUCUCCACCCGGCACAGCCAGAAGAGGACUGGCCACCCCUCAUAGCCUGGUUCCUCUCUAGGUUUCUUCCUAGGUUUUGGCCUUUCUAGGGAGGUUUUUCCUAGCCACCGUGCGUCUACACCUGCAUUGCUUGCUGUUUGGGGUUUUAGGCUGGGUUUCUGUACAGCACUUUGAGAUAUCAGCUGACGUAAGAAGGGCUAUAUAAAUACAUUUCACCAUAGCAGUACCCACCCGUAGCACAUGCUCCAGCAGGUAUAUUUCACUGGUCAUCCCCAAAUCCAACUCCUCCUUUGGCACACUUUCCUUCCAGUUCUCUGCUGCCAAUGACUGGAACGAAUUGCAAACAUCACUGUAGCUGGAGUCUUAUAUUUCCCUCACUAACUUUAAGUAUCAGUUGUCAGAGCAGCUUACCGAUCAUUGCACCUGUACACAGCCCAUCUGUAAAUAGCCCACCCAACUACCUAAUCCCCAUAUUGUUAUUUAUUUUUUUGCUCCUUUGCACCCCAGUAUCUCUACUUGCAUAUUCAUCUUCUGCAUAUCUAACACUCCAAGUGUUUAAUUACUAAAUUGUCAUUAUUUUGCCACUAUGGCCUAUUUAUUGCCUUACAUCCGUAAUAUUACUACAUUUGCACACACUGUAUAUAGAUUUUUCUAUUGUGUUAUUGACUCUUCGUUUGUUUAUCCCAUGUGUAACUCUGUGUUGUUUGUGUCGCACUGAUUUGCUUAUCUUGUCCAGGUCGCAGUUGUAAAUGAGAACUUGUUCUCAACUGGCCUACCUGGUUAAAUAAAGGUGAAAAAAAAUAGUCUUGA